CACAGAUAGUGAUUAAAUACUCGGUGAUGUUGAUUUGCGCGUCCAAGACACGCGCGAUAUUAUAUAUUGCUUCGAACGAAAAUAACGUACGGACCGGUACGUGCAUAGUUAUUCUAGCCGGAAUAAAAAUCUACCGUUAUUCAAAUCAAAUGCAAUCGUUAUUCGAAAAGCUUAACGACGAAUAAAUAUGACGAAUAAACGGUGCCUUCAAACGAUGCCUUCUAAACGAUGCCUUCAAACGAUGCACGUGUCUAUGAAUUUAUUACACACGGCACAUUAUGCUAUGCAGUGAGUUAACUGUUUCACAUCGAUUCAACACAAACUUCAUUUUACUUGCAACUAUUAUUUGAAAAUUUAUUCAAAUAAGGCCUAACUCUAACUCUAACAAAAUCUUUAUCUGACAAAAAUUCCAAGUACUGCAAUAAUAAACGGAAUAUUAAAAUCUAUUAUCCGUCAAAUAAUAACGAAUAAAGUUAUUUACGUUUGACACGUAAAGGACAUAUAUGUAUAUAUUUAAAUGUAUAUUUACUCGUUGAAUCAAGAUACAUUUUGUUGUUUGAUUUAAUCGAAUCAAAUUGCAUUUGAAUCUUUGUUCGAGUGAUUAUUUUAACGAUACCUAACUCUGGUCACACCUUGUAUGAAAAUAUUCAAGACACAAAAAGUAAAUGAAUUUACCCAAACACCAGAAAUACUGUUUACCGUAACUAAAUCAUUAUAUGCGAACGAAUUUACAUAAAAUGGAAUAUCGUUCCAAUAUUGUAAGACUGGUGAUAAAAAAUAUAGUAAUAUUGUAUAACAGAAUAAUAACAGCAACAAAUACGCGACAGAUGAUUGUGAACGUGAAAUAUAUGAAUAAAAAUUCUUACAUAAAGUUAUAUAAACGAAUAGAUGAUACAACUGAAGCAUGAUCUGCCAAAGAAACUCAACAAAUUUGCACAACAUGCUCAAGCAGUGAUGAAAAACGCAUGCAAAAAUGAUCGUGCAUAAAAAGGACGCUCGAACUCUAUUCUUUAUCGUUCCAUUCGUUCGUUAACCGUUCCACUGCAAAGUUAAUAAAUGAGAAAGCCUCUAAACUGAAUUAAUUUAAUAGAAUAGAAUAGAAAAACUAAGGCAAUUAUUACAGAAACUAAAAUGUUUAUAUAUCUUGUAUUUUUUUUUUUAACUUGAGCAGUUAAAAGGUUAAAUCUAAAAGUGAAUCAAAUUACAACUUUAUCAAUUUCAAACGUCUUUUCUAUGUACGUAAAUAUGACUUUUUUUUUUUUUAUUGGUAUUACUUCACAAGUAAAAUCCUGGAUGCGUAAAAGGGAAAAUAUUGAAGGCCAGCAGAUAUGGGGAUUCAAUCAAAGAAAUAAAGAACGCGAAUACGCAUUCCAGCGUGCGGGGAAAAUCAUAGUUCCCCAUGUUCGAUCGCACGCAAGAGUUCGAUAAAAUAAAAAUAAAAGAUUAGUGAACGCAUAGAAAACAGCGUAUCUAUAAUUAACAAUAAAAUUCGUUACAUCAACAAUAUGCAAAACUGUUUCUCCAUGUAGUAUAUAUUUAGACUUCCAGACUGCACUGUACGAUAAUAAAGAUUUAAAGAUAUGCAUUAAAAUGUCAUUUAUCUAACAUUUUAGGGAUUAAAUAAAAAUUUUCAAUUGUUUCAAUUAAUUUUGAACAUAAAAAUGUCAAAUAAAACGUCCACAGUGUACUACAAAUAUGUAGUUCUACAUACUGUAUGGAACUUGAUUAAAUUAAAGUUUUGAAAUAUUUAUUUCGCAACAGAACAGUUUUUGUAACAGAAAUUCUUUUCAAGGGAGCACGUAAUACUCAGAAAUUUUUGUUUCAAAAUCUACCAAGGAUAAUUUAAGUAAAAGAGAUGCGAUUAAGACGCAACAGCCGAGUGUAACUUGUGAAAGAAACUUUUUAGGCAAUCUAAUAUAUUAUGCAUUCUGGAAAAGUAUCUAAAGGUAACGUAUUUAAAUAACAGAAAUUUUCCCAACUAAUUUCGACAAAUAGAUAUGUCACUUCCCCAGCGGAAAUGCGUUUCCGGUCGUCACAAAUCUAUAGGCUUUCUCUCGAAUUCUCAUUCUUUUAUAUAUAGAGAUAUAUAUAUAUUUAUAAUCUAUAACAUGUUAUUCCCUAUAUACACAUUUAUAUUGCAGGAAAACAGUGUAUGCAUACCGCGCGUGUGUUCGCACGAUAUUACAACGUGUGUGAGUCGCGUGAAGUGCACAAACCGGAAAUUAGUUCGCUAAGUAACCCCGUCGAUGCGUCCCUUGCUCGAUUACGUGCAAUUUUUUUACGAUUAUACAUCGGAGGAAUUUAACCAUUCGAUCGGCGACGAACUCAACGAACGCCUCUGUUCUCUCGGACAUGGAAGAAAAUUUCUAUAAAAAUUAGCGAGUUGUAGCAAGUAUAAAAAAUGAUCACGAAGACGCUACGCGACAUUAAAACUAUCCAAGAAGCUGCGUAUCUCGCGAAACUGUGGAUUUAAUCAAUGUUUCUGUGCCCGUUAUUCCAAGGGCUCGCCAUUGACAUCACGUGGGUUACUUAGUUCAGCCGCGACUGGCCACGGAUAUAAUCGAUCUAACACAAUAAUUCUUAACUUUUCUAAGCUCGACGCGUUAUUUAGAUGAUUCUUUAUUUUUUACUGCACAUUUCAAAAAUUAUUUGUACAAGUAACAAUUUAUUUGUACACUCCCAGGAAUCGAGAAAUGCACAAGAAUGCAACGACGUAAAGUAAGCAAUUUGUAACGAGAACGCGAAAGUUGUUCAAAGGUAUUAACGUCGUAAAGGUAUAAACGUAACAUAAGUAUUGAAAAUGCGUAAGAUAGAUGCACAGAGAAUAUUUGCUGUCAACUAUCGGACGACAUGAACUGCAGGAGUGAACUGAUAAAUAUGCCAAUACUGGCCGGAGAGGUUCGGCUGUGAUGCCAGUGUUGUUUCCUAUUCGCGCAUGCAUUUUUUUGCAUUAUCUGUUGCGUCAGUAAUGCCUAAUCUGACCAUUACAGUGACGCCCUUAACACGCCCAAAAAUGAUAAAAGUAUACAAGAAUUGUGGGACAUUUUUUCAGGAUCAAGACGUGUGAGAAAGACGCACACUCGCAAUCACCUGCGAAUCAGCUGGUCCCAAAAAUGUUGUAACACCUUGAAAGAGGUGGUUCGGGAGGUGAUUUGAAACAACUUUUUCCUUAGCGAAAAUAUUGUCCGAGGCUUCGUUGGGGAGAUAUUAACAAAAUACCCCAACCAAUCAGAGCGCGAGUAUACCGGUUGAGCGUAGGCUACGCGCUAGGCGGCCGCGCUCAUACGCUGCCGCGAGCGCUCCAUCGGCAUACUGGCGCUCUGAUUGGUCAGUAUUUUCCGUUAAUAUCUCCUCAACGAAGACGCGGACAAUAUUUUCGCUAAGGAAAAAGUUGUUUCAAAUCACCUCCUAAACCACUCCUUUCAAUGACUUCCAACAUUUUUGGGACACCCUGUACAUAGAGGCUAGAGGUGAUUUGAAACAACUUUUUCCUUAGCGAAAAUGUUAUCCGCGGCUUCGUUAAGGAGAUAUUAACGGAAAACCCCGACCAAUCAGAGCGCGAGUAUGCCGGUGGAGCGGCCAUGGUAGCGUACAAGAGCUGCCACUUAGCGCGUAGCCUACGCUCAACCGGCAUACGCGCACUCUGAUUGGUCGGUGUUUUCCGUUAACAGUUGAUCGCCACGUUAUCCAUAUAUGGGUGACAGUGAUUUUCCCGAUGGAAUUAAAAAAAUUGUUUUGAAGAUCAGAUGUUAAAGUAAACAAGUCUGGAUAGGAUUUGUGAAUUUUGACGAGGUUGCAAAACUAGAACGCCGGCCCUGGCUACAGUACUGCGCAUUCAACUUUUAACGACGCGUAUGCGCGAGUUUGGAACCAAUGCUGGCAUCACAUGGCUUCGAGAGUACUUGGUAAAAAUGCAUAGAGAAUAAUUUCAGCAUUUCCGUUAUAAUAGUUUCUCUGCUGGUGUACUUGCAUUUUAAAAAUACGUAUUUAUUAUAAAUGCUCCUGUUAUAUGAUCCUAAAUUAGGUUACCAGUAAAAUUUAUUUUGAAAUUUUCUCGAUCAAAGAGGGUUAAGAACCUUCGAAUUGAAAAUAAACAAUUCGUUACAGUUCUAAAUCGUUUGAUAAUUGUAACUGCAAUUUUAAGACAGGUAAAAAAUAAGAAUUCAUAAAAUCAGUUGCCAAAUAUUUACAGCACGAUGGUUCGCAGCUUGAUGGUAGUUAAGAAUCACUGAUCUAAUACCCCGUGGAAAUAAUCGUGGCGCCAGUCACGGUUUCCGUUAAUCGACUUAAUUGCAUAUUUUGCAGAUUUCGUUCCACCUUUUCGUCCCAACGUCGAUUCUACCGUUGACGUUUACGCGCGUCAGUUCGUGUUACGUUCUCGACAGAGCCGUCUUAACGUCGUUGCGGGCCCCCGAGCAAAUGAGUGCAUUGGGACCCUUGUUGAAUUUAUUUCGUUUAGAUAUCGCAGAUGAAAAAAAAAAAAGAAAUUCAAAGGCAAUGGGCAAUUCCAGUGACCAAUGUCGUUCGUCACGUAUGUGUUCAACGUUGCACAAAUUAGCAUGGGGCACCCGUGCCCGUACGUUAAGACGGCAAUUGGGUCUCAGCCCGCGAUGUACAAGAUCGGACUUUGCCAGAGAUAGGACAAAUUUUUGUCUAAAUAGAAAUUUCGAAUAAUGAAUAAAAGGUAAAAAACCGUUUAGACAUCGAGUCAAAAUUAGAUUACAAAAGGAAGUAUUACAGGAUGAAUAAGUAGAAAUUAGGCUGCUCGAUCGUAUAAACAUUACAAAUCAACACCAUAUGUUUACUGUUCGAAUAAAAUUUGUCCUACCCCUUAACUUCGCGCUACACGGUGUGUGUAAGCUUUGUUUGAACUAGAACUUUGCUAUAGUUAAGGCUCUUAGAUGGAAGCAUGUAUAAUAAUCCGUGGCGUGGAAGGAUGCGUCACGGUCAAGUGGUUUCCGUUCAAUCGGUCACGGUUUCGCGCGAUUUUCUUUCCUCUUCCUCUCUCUCUAUUGCGCAAACAAAGAUCCGAACGCAACCAAUCUCGAGAACGAUACGAAUAUAUCGAGGGAAAUGAGAAAAAAUAAAAUGAACGAGGUAAAAGAAAACGAUUUCGUUCGAACGUGUCGGGUUCUUAGGAAAUUAAAGAUUACACUCUAGGUUACAAUUUUUAAGUACUUAACCUCUUCGGGGAUACUGGCACAUAUCUGUACGUUUCGUUUUUAAGUUAAUUUAAAUAAUGUAACGUGGAAGUAAUCAUUAAAAUUAGGGAUUAAAUAUUUGUAAUUAACUUAACGUUAUAACAUUGCUUUUUUUUCAGACUAAAUAAAUAUUCAUCACAAAGCUCAGCAAGCAGUUUAUUAAUAAACGCUUUCGGCAAUUUAUAACUUCACUGCACGAUAACACUAGACAUAAAAUGCUUUGUAUAUCAAUUAUUAACAAAGCUUACAUUAUGUAUAUUAUAACAUACAUAACGUACACUACAGGUAUCAUAAAGAUUACAUCUGACUCAUUUAAAAUAUAAUUCUUUAAAAAAUUGUAUAUUAAUUAUAAACAUAAUAAAAUACUUGAUACGAAACCAACGAUAAAUACUUAUUCGCAAUUAAUUUUUCAGUAUAACGGGGCAAGAUUGGUAGACGUCAUGGAUAAAUGUAUUAGUUCGCAUUUUUGUUCGAUCCGAACAAAAAAAUGGAUACGACCCUGAAGAGGUUAAGAUGUCCAAACUAAUCAGUCUGCCACAAACGCGUGUACACUCGCUUCUCGGUUCCACGGUUAAAUGCUAGUGAUUUCUAGUACUGUUAACGGUGACAUCGCUAAACAUCGUCAACGCUAGGUUCCAUCGGAUCCAGUCCCGAAAGCUGAGGGUUUAUUCUCGAGGACCUUUUCUUUUAGGCUCGAUACACGACGAGUAUCGUUGUACAGAUCGCACGAUACACGGUGGUACAAAUAAACAAUUAUACGGAGGAUUAUUCCAAACGAAACAUCGAUUCAUUGUUUAAUUGACGGUACGAGCAUAAAAAGAACACCGAUGGGUGAUUCGGCCCAUCACAGGUUUUUUUUUUUCACUUAUCGUCUUUCGUUGUAACGUCUGUAACACAGAUUCCACCCAGUCAGUAUCAUUUACGAUAGUGAUUUCGGUUGAUAAAAUUUAUUUGCUCGCGCAUUUGAAUGUUUAUAAAUGGAAAAUGAAUUCACAAGACUGUAUACUAUAUUGCCUGAGAAGUUGGCUAAUUUUUACUUCCUGACUUUGUUAAUUAACGUUACUUUGAAGGAAUAUUUUAUUUUGAGAAAUCCUUCACUGUUUGUACUCAACUGGCUCCGAUUAUUUGUAAAUAAACAAUGCUUUCUUUUUUGGAGAAUUUAAAUAUAUGCUUGAUACGACUCUUGUAUAAGACUUAUUUUUAUUAGGUUGUCCCAAAAGUUUCUUUCGUUUUAUUAAUAAGUAAUACAUACACGAUAUUUUAUGUUUUGUAUUACAUUGUUGAAUUAUCUAAAAAAUUAGAUUGUCUAUUUAUAUAAACACCGACGCACAAAAUAAUUGAGUGCAACUCACAAAAGAAACUUUUGGGACAAUCUAAUACAUAAAGACAGAUUCAAUAUAUUAGGCAUAUAAGUUCUCAGCUCGGACUCGAACCGUUGCCAAUUUCUCAGGCGAUACUGUAUUUUUAUAAAGAAAUAUGCUCACGGUCUCGGGAGGGUGGAACCCUCGAUAUACCGCCGACGAACAUCGAAGAAUCUGUACACAGAAGAACGAUCAUUUUUGCGCGCGCGCAUCUACUUGAUAUGCCCAAUUUUUGAAACGCUACGCACGGCGCGUGGAUCGUUUAGAGUUACGACAAUAUUUCUAUCGCCUAUAUCUCAACGCGCAACAAGAACGACCCUCUGUCACAAAGUAACCACGCUAAUAGUGAAACUUGAAAAUAAAACGUCUCAUAAUCUACCGAACAUGGAACGUGUUACACGCUACUGAAACAAGUAACGUUACCUUUUAAUCCUAUACAGUACAUAAUAAUGUCGUUAAUAAUAAUAAUAAUAAUAAUAAUAAUAAUAAUAAUAAUAUCGUAAUUGUAAUUAUCUCUGUAAUUUCAACGUACGACCUACUUAACUCUGUCAUUACAGUGCAUAAAAUGAUUAGUAUAAGUGUAUGUAUACGUAUUGUAUAUCUAUAUACGUAGAUAUACGGAUACUUCUGUACAGUAACAUUACAAUAAUACCACUUGUGGCUGCUCGCGGGUCUUUAGUGUGUGUGUGUGUGUGUGUGUGUUUACCUUUUGGUGUCUUGCCACCAUACACGAUACAAUUAUCCAGCGAGUAGUAUGAACCAGUGUUUCUCAAUCUAUUUUGACCAAUGGCUCGCUUUCGAGAUCUGCUUUAUAUCUGUUAUAUACCACUCGUGAUUAUUGUUAGGUACUUGUUACAAUCAUAAGAUGUAACUUUAUAUAUUUCUUACUUUAUGAAUGAACCAAUGUUUUCUGCUUCGUUUGCAUUCGUACUUUUAUUUUACUUUUAUUUUAUAUACGAAUGAAUUCAAUUAAAUAACUGAUUAAACUAUACACAUUUUUGGUGUUUUCUCGACUUACACCGAUUUUUCAUAUAAACAUAUAUAUAAAAAAGGAAAAAUCUAUAUGUCGAAUCGAGUAACCUCCUCCUUUUCAAAGUCGGUUAAACCCUUUGACCUUAAUUUACACGGUAUUCCAAGAAACCAAUGUCCCUUGUGAAUCGGGGGAUUGGCGCAGUGAUUAAUGGAAUCCUCGAGGCUGAAGUAAUUAUUUAUCAAGGUUCUCGUACAAUUAAAUGUGAACCGAGAAAGUUAACAAAAGAAAUUUUAUUUUUUUUUCUAAACUUUGUUUCAAUUCCACUACUGAUUCCGAAGUUGUUUUUAACAGCCCUUGGUUUAAUAAUAUAAUACCAAUAUAUGUAUUUAAUAUCACCUCUACGUUUACUGAAGACAUUUGUUUGAAUUAAAAUAGUAGGUUUAAUGUUUCCAGAUAAAUUUUUCAUUAUAAAUACAUACACCUGUGAAGUUUACUCAUGUACAUAUUUAUAAUGAAACAUUGAAUCUAUCAUUUAAUUAAGACAAAGUUCUUCAAUAGGCACAAGGGGAUACGAGUAAUUAUGAGACUGAUUGUGUACGAGUGUAGUAUUAAUAUUUUAUUGAUAUCUUCCCUGGCCAACUCGGAAAUUUUUAUAUCUUUCACUCAUUGCUCCUCAAGAACCAACGAAUCGAGUACUUAAUUCGGAGUCAUACUGGGCCUGUUGAGAUUAACUGGUUUAAACUACAGGCUGGGCUGCCCUGUGUUCAAUCUGAAUAAUCGAUUAAUCGUCUCGAGCAACUAUAUCGAAAAGAUACGCUUCCUCGACCGGCAUCGUGCAAAUUAUCAAACGGCAAGCGAACGUUGUACACGCCUCUGACAAAUCGCGGAUCUUACGUAAAGUCGGCAUAAACAAAUUCAUGUUAGAUCGAUCAACGUCGCUGAUUAUCGUUAGGCCCUUCAAAAUAUCGAAACAAAGGAGUUGGGCGCCGCGUAUAGUGACAAAACUAAGCUUGACCCAUGAAUUUGAAACAAGAAAUAGACUUGACCCUUUUAGUACCUUUUCAGACUUCAACAUUCAUUUAUAUUCCUGCGUUGACGUUAAAUUAUGUUAACCCAAACUGUAUUACAAAAAACCUACACCGCAAUAGAUGAUACAGAAUUAGUUAUUUAGUCAGUGGGAAAUUGAUCGGUGUACGAAUACAUUCUACAGCCACUGUAUAUUUUGUAUUAUAUGUUCCACGUCGAACUACGUCAGGGACGAUUUUUUUUUUUUUUUUUUUUUUU